rnacentral:lncRNA from 1 species
CGGUUCUCUAAUUUGACUCAGCUUCAGAUUGGAAUGUUUCUCUCCUCACUGGGAAAAGCUCCUUUGGUCUCAGUGAACUCAGAGGUGGAGAAAGUCAUAAGAAUCAGGGAGCCUGCCCCAAAUUGCCUCCUAUGAUAACUUUCCACAAAGACUGGAGGGGAGGCUUCAAACAUCUUCCUGCAGUGUCCAGCAAGACAGCGAGGCAGACUCCCUUUCUCCUGCCAAAGCCACGUGGAGCCAGACAGAACCACAAGCAUACCUGUGGUGCUUGGAGGCCCAAGUAGAAACUUGAAUGCUCACGGCUGCAUUGGCAGCUUCUACUUGCCUGCCUGGAUCACCGUUCCUCAUGAGAACUUGGAAAAGCAGGACUAUCAUUCUUGCUUGACAGACGAAGAAACCAAGCCUCAGGACUGCGUGCAAUUCUACUUGGAGAUCUUCAUAACACCUUAAGGGAAAAAUCCUUUUUGAAAGAAAAACAAGUCUGGGUGGUGCUUGAAAAUUCAGAAGGCAGCUAGAAACUCUGCCAAUUACAACUAUUUACAACUUCAGGGAGACAAAGGAAACUCCAGCUCAUCUCCCACAUCAUUGAUUGAGAGGACCAUUUUCUGACUGUCUGCACACGUUUCCUAUACUACCCUUUAAUGCAACAAUGGGAUGAAGAGAUGAAGACUUCUAGCAGGCUACCUCAGAAAGGUUGCUGACCAAAGGCUGUAUGGACCAAAAAGUCAUAACACCACCCUGGAUGAAAGGACAUUUACCUAAGGAAUUACCCGCUCUCAAUUCUUCCCAGGGAUGGGCAUUUGAAUUAUUUCCAGUUUUUGGCUAUUAUGAAAAAAACUGCUAUGAACAUUCAUACACAAGUGUGUGUGUGGACCCAUGUUUUCACUGAUCAAGGCCUAAAUACCUACGGUAAGUAUACAUUUAACCUUAUAAGAAAAUGCAAAACUAUUUUUCCAAAGUAGUAUCAUUUUACAUUUCUUCUAACAACAUAUGAGAAUGGCAGUUGCUCUACUAAUAUGGUUUGGCUUUGUGUCCCCACC